GUCAAAAUGAGUCAGGUGAAAUCAAUGAGUCGUCAUGGUGACAAAACAAACAAGGAAGUGCAAACAGGAACUAAAAGAGUCCAAAAACCAACAGAACAUAACCAAACAAAACAUGAUCUAGACCACAGAUCAUGACACAAAACAGACAAUGAUGGACACAGCGCUGGAAGUGGGUAUGUCUCAAGCUUCGUCAACGUGCUCCACUCCAAAGCGAGCUGCAAAGGUGAAGAAGUGGAAGAAGUUGAAUGACACGUUGCAUUUUAUAACUGGCAACAAAGUACCAGGUAAAAAAGAUUGUGAAGCCUGCUUCCAGAAAGAACUAGUAGCUCUACAGGACAGAGAUUGGGUUGCCAUCAAGUACUACGUCCAUAACAGAAUCAUAUCAAAAAAAGGA